AUUGAACGCUGGCGGCAGGCCUAACACAUGCAAGUCGAGCGGAUGACGGGAGCUUGCUCCUUGAUUCAGCGGCGGACGGGUGAGUAAUGCCUAGGAAUCUGCCUGGUAGUGGGGGACAACGUUUCGAAAGGAACGCUAAUACCGCAUACGUCCUACGGGAGAAAGCAGGGGACCUUCGGGCCUUGCGCUAUCAGAUGAGCCUAGGUCGGAUUAGCUAGUAGGUGAGGUAAUGGCUCACCUAGGCGACGAUCCGUAACUGGUCUGAGAGGAUGAUCAGUCACACUGGAACUGAGACACGGUCCAGACUCCUACGGGAGGCAGCAGUGGGGAAUAUUGGACAAUGGGCGAAAGCCUGAUCCAGCCAUGCCGCGUGUGUGAAGAAGGUCUUCGGAUUGUAAAGCACUUUAAGUUGGGAGGAAGGGCAGUAAGCUAAUACCUUGCUGUUUUGACGUUACCGACGGAAUAAGCACCGGCUAACUUCGUGCCAGCAGCCGCCGUAAAAA
rnacentral:rRNA from 1 species